rnacentral:rRNA from 1 species
CCUACGGGGGGCUGCAGUGGGGAAUAUUGGACAAUGGGGGGAACCCUGAUCCAGCCAUGCCGCGUGUGUGAAGAAGGCCCUCGGGUUGUAAAGCACUUUCAGUGAGGAAGAACGCCUGGUGGUUAAUACCCAUCAGGAAAGACAUCACUCACAGAAGAAGCACCGGCUAACUCCGUGCCAGCAGCCGCGGUAAUACGGAGGGUGCGAGCGUUAAUCGGAAUUACUGGGCGUAAAGCGCGCGUAGGUGGCUUGAUAAGCCGGUUGUGAAAGCCCCGGGCUCAACCUGGGAACGGCAUCCGGAUCUGUCAAGCUAGAGUGCAGGAGAGGAAGGUAGAAUUCCCGGUGUAGCGGUGAAAUGCGUAGAGAUCGGGAGGAAUACCAGUGGCGAAGGCGGCCUUCUGGACUGACACUGACACUGAGGUGCGAAAGCGUGGGUAGCAAACAGGAUUAGAUACCCCAGUAGUC